rnacentral:lncRNA from 1 species
GACAUUCCAAAGAUGUGCAUAUUAAGUAGUAAAUACAUAUUGAAGAAUUCGAAAAUUCUUCAUGAGUUUUUAAUGUUGCUUGUUCUCAUGAUAAGUUGGUUGAACCAACUAAUGUUGGGGUUGGGUUUCCUAAAUUAUGACAAGUAUAAAAGGUGAAUAUGACCCCGUUCACCCAUCAUGUGAUCUGUUAAGAAGCAUCAAUAUAAGAUGAUCACUUGUACGUUUAUUGUCAACCUGCAUUUUGACAUUCAUAAAGUUUCUUGCUCAAUGAAAUUGAGUUAAGAGCAUGACUUUCAGAUUGUGUAAUUAAGAUAAUUCAUCUUGAUGAUGAUGGUUUAGCAUCGAAUGCCUUCAAUA